UUGCUCUCUGUGCAGCCACGCCCGCCAAGGGGUUCUCGGGGCCGGCGCGACGGUGGUUCUUGUCUUUUGGCUCCCUGGGCAGCGUUCUUUUUCCUGCGUGCGCGUUAGCAAUUAAUCAUCAGAGAUCAUCACAGAACCCAUGCCCUCCUCGCCUACCACUCUCAGUUCCCCUCGGGGAGGAUUAAGGUUCUACUAAGAAUUUACCUGAUGUGACUGAGGGAAUUUCGCGUCCCUCCCUGCUCCCGGAGGCUUCCUCUGCAGACUCUCUGACCCAUUUGUGCGCGCCCCCGACCGUUUGUGCUCCAAGUGUCCUAAGGUUGCACUUUACUCGUGGCUCCUUGGAGAAGGCAUAUGGGGCAUAGGAAUUCUGGCUCCAAACCAGAAAGAAGGCUUGUUGAGAAUUCUCAAGGAAAGAAUUUUCUUUUUUCCCUUUUAUCCAGCACAAAGGCCAAGAAAGGAAUUUGAUGAGAUAUCUGCCACUGUCUCUCUAUCUCUCUCAGAAAUGGACCAAGACCCCCUAAACACCACCAUACGGAAAUGAUAGUUGAACAGCUUAAGAUAAAGAUAAAGAUGGCAACUGGGGCUUCUCUGGUGGCACAGAGGUUAAGAAUCCACCUGCCAAUUCAGGGGACACGGUUCAAGCCCUGGUCCGGGAAGAUGCCACAUGCUGCGGAGCAGCUAAGCCCAUGCACCACAACUACUCUAGAGCCCACAAGCUACAACUGCUGAGCCCGUGGGCCACAACUACUGAAGCCUGUGUGCCUAUAGUCCGUGUUCUGCAACUGCAACAAGAGAAGACACCGCAAUGAGAAGCCCGCGCACGUCAACGAAGAGUAGCCCCUGCUCGCCGCAACUAGAGAAAGCCCACGCACAGCAAUGAAGACCCAACGCAGCCAAAAAUUAAAUAAAGAUGGCAACUAUAGGACUGUUUCUGGAGGAAGACAGAUCUAUGAGCAAUAUGGCAGAGUUCGUGGAAGCGAGGCCAAGCUAUACCAGAAACAAGUUUGGGGAAAACAAUAGAAGAAAUGACACAACUGGAUGCUACCAACAGCUACACAUAGGAUUUUUGCAGGUGAUGCAGAAUGGGUUCCAUAUAUGAAGACUGGGGUACUAGGAAAUACUGCGAUGCUUUAUGAAGAAAUUAGGACCUUACCAGUUAAUUAUUGGGUUGAGUAAAACAGGGUAGGGAAAGUGUGGAAGGGUGUCCACACUUUUGUUCUAACUGUUUUUGGAGUUAAAGCAAAUCUUCAAGAAAGGAAAGACUGUGAAAAAAAAGAGUACCCAAAGUUCUUGAUCAUUCAGCAAAAAGAGAACAAGAAGAGAUCACCUUUAUGUAAGAAUUUGCAGAAGUGUUAUAUGGGGUAACAGAGAAAACAGGUAGUGGAAUGAGGUGUGGAGAGCUGAGCGAGAAUCAACAAGCACUGUCUGGAAUUAUUUGAAAUCAGGCUGCCUAAAGUGUCAAGGACUUCCUGGGAGCACCCUAUUGUUACAAUUAACUCUGGAGGGGAGAAAGCUAAGGCCAUAGAAACUUAUCAGAUGAUAAGUUGGUUAAAACAGAUUAUGGAUUAUUUCGAAUGCUUGAAAAUCAAAUCUGGUGCAUUUCAUACAUAUAAAAAUAGCAGUAUGAUAGCCUAAAUAAUUAUAAGAACUUAACAUGUGCCCUUCAUUGAAGUCUAUUGGAUUUGAUUUUUAUACAAAAUAUUAAUUAGAUGAAACAGAUUCAAUACCUGAAGUAAAUGUACAGGCUUAAAACCACUUUAUCCUGAAAUAGCUUAAUAAUUUAUCCAAAGAAAAGUAUGUUUUGCUUGUUUGUUUAGCUUGAACUGGAUCACCUGGAUAACUGCCUCAAUUUUUUCUCUCAGCAUUUAGAUACGUGUUGUCCAAUAUGUGAGCUAUUGAACUCUUAUAAUAUGGCUGAUCUGAAUUGAGAUGCGCUGUAAGUUAUAAUACAAACCAGACUUAGAAGACUUAUGAAAAAUAAUGUAAAACAUGUUAUUAAUAAUUUUUAUAUUAAUGUCAUGUUGAAAUGAUAAUAUUUUGGAUGUAUUGGGUUAAAUGUAUUGUUAAAAUUAAUUUCAUCUUUCUUUUUCUUUUUAAUGUGGCUACAAGAAAAUUUUAAAUUACGGAUGCACUGUAUAUUUCUAUUGCACAGUACUGAUUUAGACAUUACCUUCAUAACAUAUUUAAUAAGAAUUCAAAAAUCUGAUGAAUGUCCCAACAGAAAUAGUUGGCUCUUUUCUGUAGCAUAAUAAAUAACAUUUUUGGGUAAAUGAAUGCUUGGUUUUAAUAUUUUAAUAUAUCUUCAAUAUAGUAACAUUAUACUUGAUCAGUUUCUAUAUGCGAUCAGUAAAUACUAAACAUAUUUCAGCUAACUGCCCUUGAGAGGCAAAAUGUUUUAGAAUGCCGCUAAUGUUUCUUCAAGUAGUCACUAUCAAUGAUUAUAAAACAUUAAACAUUAGAAACAUUUGAAUUCUCUAUCCACUUCAUUAUUUACAUUGUGAAUAUUUGCUUUUUGUUCCUAAAUUUACAUAUGUUCUGCCUGAAAUAAAUAUUCUAUUUUUGUAGUCAUCUGCUUCACUGGCAUAAACACCUGAUUGUCCAUGAGAAUUACUGGCUUAGAUUUGGGCAAAAAAAAGAAAA